rfam:Saitoella complicata NRRL Y-17804 DNA, contig: contig047, whole genome shotgun sequence.
GCAGCGAUGGCCGAGCGGUCUAAGGCGUCGGAUUCAAGCGUAAAAGCUUUCCCUAGCAGGAAAUCCCGAUCUCGAAAGAGGCGGGGGUUCAAAUCCCCCUCGCUGCA